GGCCCGCCCAUCCCGUCUGUGUACGUUGGAGAAGCGCUUCUGGCAGAGGUGAGCAGCAGCAAUUGUGCUCCAAUGCACAUUUGAAAACAAGGAGUUUUCUCAUCGGUGACAAUGGCUUGAAGCCUUGGCAUGAGCUCUUCAAUCAUCCAGAAGCUUGAAAAACAAUACAAGUUAGGAGGCCAUCCUUCCGUAUUUGCGCUUGCCUUUCAAAAGCACUAUUUGAAGAUGCUCAAUGUGCCUCUUGGGUUUCAUUGCCAGUGGUAAAUGUAAAUGUGGCGGCUAAGGUGUCUAUGCGUUUGGAAAUGAUGACACCAUUCAUUGUUCAGCUAUGAAGCCCAAUUUGGAGAAGGGCUACUAAAAGUAAGAGAGUGAGUGGCACGUCUCGUCCCCAGUUUUGCUGUGUCUAGGUUGCCACGGUUUGUGUUGGCGUCGCCCCUCCCCUCCCCUCGCCCCUCCCCUCGCCUCCCCUCCCGUGUCACCUCAAUCAAUGUAACCGCGGUCACCUGCCUCGUGUUUCGUGUUUUGUAUUCAAGUCCUGUCUGCGUGUCACUCCACUCCCCGUCGGAUCAUUGUGUGUUGUCGUCGUUAUGUCUUGAUGUGUCCAUGUCCUGUUGUUUUCUUGUCUCACGUUCCGGUCAGUCAGUCUCGUUAUUGGUUUGUUAAGUCAUGUCAGUUUGCCGAGUCUGUCUGUCUCUGGUCCAAGUUGCAUUUGGUCGCCGUGCUCCAUCCGAUCCGUGACAGAGAGUAAAAGUCAGUGAGUAACACAAUCCAUUUUUGUUCUCAAAUCCCAUCCAGAUGUUGUCGAGCAGGAGAGCGAGCGAGCGAGCCGGAGCGGAAAAUGGAAAGAACGGAGAAGACGAGCGAUAGAUAGUAACUAAGGAAUUAAAGGGAACAUUCCAACGCUGCAGCUACAGUACGUGGGAGGAAAGGUCAAACUGCAAACAUUGGGACUUUGCCUGAUGAAUUUAGUGGGGAAGAAACAAGAUACAUGCAGACUAAUCAUAUGAUCCCUCAUUAAUUUCCAGCAACAUUUCUUUCCAUUUAUUUACAGUCCAUUGAAUGUGCCAUAUACAAAUAUUUCUGUCUGGUUAAGUGCUGGUCUACCUACGCUAAAUCUAGAUUGUAUUCAGCACAUUAGGAUUGGGACAAACGUGGAUCUCGGUCAAGACUUUGACGUUUUGAUGAUCAUGUAAGCAUGAUCUAUGAUGGGAGAUAACAGUUCACAUCAAAAUCUUCUUCUCUUAUGUAACAAUCAUGACGUCCUUUGUUUUUUGUAUUUUAUCAAAUAAAAACAA